rnacentral:rRNA from 1 species
GAUGAACGCUAGCGGCAGGCUUAACACAUGCAAGUCGAGGGGUAGGUUACUUCGGUAAUUGAGACCGGCGCACGGGUGCGUAACGCGUAUACAAUCUACCUUUUACAGAGGGAUAGCCCAGAGAAAUUUGGAUUAAUACCUCAUAGUAUUUUUGAAUCGCAUGAUUUGAUUAUUAAAGUUCCAACGGUAAAAGAUGAGUAUGCGUCCCAUUAGCUAGAUGGUAAGGUAACGGCUUACCAUGGCUACGAUGGGUAGGGGUCCUGAGAGGGAGAUCCCCCCACACUGGUACUGAGACACGGACCAGACUCCUACGGGAGGCAGCAGUGAGGAAUAUUGGACAAUGGGCGCAAGCCUGAUCCAGCCAUGCCGCGUGCAGGAAGAAGGUCCUAUGGAUUGUAAACUGCUUUUAUACAGGAAGAAACACACCCUCGUGAGGGUACUUGACGGUACUGUAUGAAUAAGGACCGGCUAACUCCGGUGCCAGCAGCCGCGGUAAAGUGACU